AGCUGGAGUGUUGGUGGACUGCGCCUGCGAAAGAUUCUCUGUAGCUUGUCGACGAGAAUUGGUUCUUCGGGAGUGAGUAACGGAGCGUCUUUCCUCAUGGUCCCCAUUGUGAGGGUUGUCCAACUGGCCUCCCUGAGGGCCUGGCCUUUCGAGAGCGCUUCUCUGUGAGUUGACAGCUGAGCGCCUUUCUUCGUGAUCCUCGUUGCGAUGGUUGUUUGGCUGACCUCCUUGGGGGCCUAGCCUUUGAUGUACAUUUCUCUGCGGGCCCAUGCGGGCACGGACGUCGAGUCGUCUGCUGGUGCGUUCGUCC
rnacentral:lncRNA from 1 species